GUGUUUGCUUCAGCAGCACAUAUACUAAAAUUAGAACAAUACACAGAAGAUUAGCAUGGCCCCUGCACAAGGAUGACACACAAAAGUUAUGUGGGCUUCUCCUUAGCA
ensembl:snRNA U6 U6 spliceosomal RNA